ACACGUCGAGCAGGUACGAAAGUAGGUCUUAGUGAUCCGGUGGUUCUGUAUGGAAGGGCCAUCGCUCAACGGAUAAAAGGUACUCCGGGGAUAACAGGCUGAUACCGCCCAAGAGUUCAUAUCGACGGCGGUGUUUGGCACCUCGAUGUCGGCUCAUCACAUCCUGGGGCUGAAGCCGGUCCCAAGGGUAUGGCUGUUCGCCAUUUAAAGUGGUACGCGAGCUGGGUUUAGAACGUCGUGAGACAGUUCGGUCCCUAUCUGCCGUGGACGUUUGAGAUUUGAGAGGGGCUGCUCCUAGUACGAGAGGACCGGAGUGGACGAACCUCUGGUGUUCCGGUUGUCACGCCAGUGGCAUUGCCGGGUAGCUAUGUUCGGAAGAGAUAACCGCUGAAAGCAUCUAAGCGGGAAACUUGCCUCAAGAUGAGAUCUCACUGGGAUCUUGAAUCCCCUAAAGGGCCGUCGAAGACUACGACGUUGAUAGGUUGGGUGUGUAAGCGCUGUGAGGC
rnacentral:rRNA from 1 species